AACUAUUAAAGCUCUCUUCCUAUUAAGGAGGCAAUUGAAGGAUGAAACAGAGCAUGUGUGGCCUUCUCAGUGAGCAGGACAAAUAAAUAAGAAAUAGAAAAAAGAGCAGAUGGGGCUUCACAGAUAUAUUUAAUUAAAUAACGGAACAUUUUUAAA